rnacentral:hammerhead_ribozyme from 1 species
AUACAGCUGACGAGUCCCGAAUGGGACGAAACGCGCGUCAUGCAU